CAACAAUGAGGUAGUCUGACAUGGUGCACAUAGAUUUUGCACAAAAACACUGAACAUUGAGACUUGUUAAUGAGCAGUGUCCGUCCGGGAGAGUCUGGAGAGAAAGUUUGGGAAGCACGGAGGAGCCAUCCCUGUAGUCCCUACAUCAGAGAUCCAGGCCAGGAUCGCUAGAAGGGAAGAACAAAAGGUCCAAAACAGUGGGCCUCCUGCCAGCAAGUUCCGGACCGACCCGCCAUGCAGCCACCACACCCUGCAGACCUGCACAUCACUGCAGUGCCUCCCAUCGUGCGUCUAUGUUACGUCUUCCGGCAGUGACGCGGCUCAGUGGGGCUCGAGACCGUAAAGAAGAUCUAUGAGGUGAGAUGUAAUAGAGCCGGUAUUACCUCAGAGCAGCCAACCAUGACACUAGGACCGGCUGCUAGCAGUGUCCCUACGCAGCGUGCCGCAGCGACAACAGGGUCAUGUCUUCUCUUUACAUUGAUCUUCACAU